rnacentral:sRNA from 1 species
AGCGCCACCGGAUCGACACCGCGUGCUACGACAAGGUAAUCGCGGAUGACGAUCCCGUGGCGGUUCUC